CCGAUUAGCUAGUUGCUGAGGUAAUAGCUUAACAAGGCGAUGAUCAGUAGCUGGUCCGAGAGGAUGAUCAGC
rnacentral:sRNA from 1 species